rnacentral:rRNA from 1 species
GCGAUACAGGGUGACAGCCCCGUACACAAAAAUGCACAUACUGUGAGCUCGAUGAGUAGGGCGGGACACGUGGUAUCCUGUCUGAAUAUGGGGGGACCAUCCUCCAAGGCUAAAUACUCCUGACUGACCGAUAGUGAACCAGUACCGUGAGGGAAAGGCGAAAAGAACCCCGGCGAGGGGAGUGAAAAAGAACCUGAAACCGUGUACGUACAAGCAGUGGGAGCCUCUUAAUGGGGUGACUGCGUACCUUUUGUAUAAUGGGUCAGCGACUUAUAUUCUGUAGCAAGGUUAACCGAAUAGGGGAGCCGAAGGGAAACCGAGUCUUAACUGGGCGUUAAGUUGCAGGGUAUAGACCCGAAACCCGGUGAUCUAGCCAUGGGCAGGUUGAAGGUUGGGUAACACUAACUGGAGGACCGAACCGACUAAUGUUGAAAAAUUAGCGGAUGACUUGUGGCUGGGGGUGAAAGGCCAAUCAAACCGGGAGAUAGCUGGUUCUCCCCGAAAGCUAUUUAGGUAGCGCCUCGUGAAUUCAUCUCCGGGGGUAGAGCACUGUUUCGGCAAGGGGGUCAUCCCGACUUACCAACCCGAUGCAAACUGCGAAUACCGGAGAAUGUUAUCACGGGAGACACACGGCGGGUGCUAACGUCCGUCGUGAAGAGGGAAACAACCCAGACCGCCAGCUAAGGUCCCAAAGUCAUGGUUAAGUGGGAAACGAUGUGGGAAGGCCCAGACAGCCAGGAUGUUGGCUUAGAAGCAGCCAUCAUUUAAAGAAAGCGUAAUAGCUCACUGGUCGAGUCGGCCUGCGCGGAAGAUGUAACGGGGCUAAACCAUGCACCGAAGCUGCGGCAGCGACACUAUGUGUUGUUGGGUAGGGGAGCGUUCUGUAAGCCUG